AUUGAACGCUGGCGGCAGGCCUAACACAUGCAAGUCGAGCGGAUGAGUGGAGCUUGCUCCAUGAUCCAGCGGCGGACGGGUGAGUAAUGCCUAGGAAUCUGCCUGGUAGUGGGGGACAACGUUUCGAAAGGAACGCUAAUACCGCAUACGUCCUACGGGAGAAAGCAGGGGACCUUCGGGCCUUGCGCUAUCAGAUGAGCCUAGGUCGGAUUAGCUAGUAGGUGAGGUAAUGGCUCACCUAGGCGACGAUCCGUAACUGGUCUGGGAGGAUGAUCAGUCACACUGGAACUGAGACACGGUCCAGACUCCUACGGGAGGCAGCAGUGGGGAAUAUUGGACAAUGGGCGAAAGCCUGAUCCAGCCAUGCCGCGUGUGUGAAGAAGGCCUUCGGAUUGUAAAGCACUUUAAGUUGGGAGGAAGGGCAGUAAGUUAAUACCUUGCUGUUUUGACGUUACCAACAGAAUAAGCACCGGCUAACUUCGUGCCAGCAGCCGCAGUAAUAC
rnacentral:rRNA from 1 species